AGAAAUAUGUCUGACAAAAGAGUUACUUUGAUAGAGUAAAUCAUAGGGGCUAAAUUCCCCUUAUUUCUA
rnacentral:tRNA from 1 species